CAGUCGCCGCGGUAAAACGUAGGUGGCAAGCGUUGUCCGGAAUUAUUGGGCGUAAAGGGCUCGCAGGCGGUUUCUCAAGUCUGAUGUGAAAGCCCCCGGCUCAACCGGGGAGGGUCAUUGGAAACUGGGAAACUUGAGUGCAGAAGAGGAGAGUGGAAUUCCACGUGUAGCGGUGAAAUGCGUAGAGAUGUGGAGGAACACCAGUGGCGAAGGCGACUCUCUGGUCUGUAACUGACGCUGAGGAGCGAAAGCGUGGGGAGCGAACAGGAUUAGAUACCCCCGUAGUCCCUGUCUCUUAUAC
rnacentral:rRNA from 1 species